GUUCCGGUAGCACAAUGAUAGCGCGUUGGAUUUCUAAUCCAAAGGUUGUGGGUUCGAAUCUUACCUGGGAUG